UACGUAGGCAGCAAGCGUUGUUCGGAGUUACUGGGCGUAAAGGGUGCGUAGGCGGGCCUUUAAGUCAGGGGUGAAAUCCCGGAGCUCAACUUCGGAACUGCCUCUGAUACAGCACGUCUUGAGUCCGGAAGAGGUGGGUGGAAUUCCUAGUGUAGAGGUGAAAUUCGUAGAUAUUAGGAAGAACACCGGUGGCGAAGGCGGCCCACUGGUCCGGUACUGACGCUGAGGUGCGAAAGCGUGGGGAGCAAACAGG
rnacentral:rRNA from 1 species